rnacentral:piRNA from 1 species
UGCACUGUAGGAUGCAAUGGGAUUUGGAAU